rnacentral:rRNA from 1 species
CCUACGGGAGGCAGCAGUAGGGAAUAUUGCUCAAUGGGGGAAACCCUGAAGCAGCAACGCCGCGUGGAGGAUGAAGGUUUUCGGAUCGUAACUCCUUUUGUUAGAGAAGAUAAUGACGGUAUCUAACGAAUAAGCACCGGCUAACCCCGUGCCAGCAGCCGCGGUAAUACGGAGGGUGCAAGCGUUACUCGGAAUCACUGGGCGGAAAGAGCGCGUAGGCGGGAUAGCAAGUCAGAAGUGAAAGCCUAGGGCUUAACCAUAGAACUGCAUUUGAAACUGUAAUUCUAGAGUAUGGGAGGGGAAGGUGGAAUUCUUGGUGUAGGGGUGAAAUGCGUAGAGAUCAAGAGGAAUACUCGUGGCGAAGGCGACCUGCUAGAACAUAACUGACGCUGAUGCGCGAAAGCGUGGGGAGCAAACAGGAUUAGAUACCCGGGUAGUC